GGGGAAGGAGGAAGCCGGGCGGAGCCGGGGCGGGGGAGGUAGCGGUCCCGGGGAGGUGUUUCUCGCCCGACGAGGCGCCUCGAGUGCAGAAAGUACAGGUCCACACAGGUAGUGUCCAGCAUCCGAUACUUUGAAAGCGUCUCAAAAGUGGUCAAGGAAGACAUCAGUCUGGCAUCUUUGAAACAAUGGAGAAAUAGCCAUGGCCUCUGGGAGCUAGAUUUUUUUAGCUCUGGACAGAAACAUUCUUGCUUUUGGAUUCCCGACAAGUGGACUAAACAAGAAGCAGCCCCCUCCCUCUGGGGAGAAUGCCCCAAAGAGGUGUUGACCUCAAGAAAAGGUUCAGGAAGCUAAGAAACCAGCCAUCUUCAACCAGAAGGCCUGCUGAUCCUCCAAGAAACCAGACUCAGAGCUCCGCCUGGACCUGGAUUCCCCUGCGCAUAAAUCCAUUAACACUAGCCCUGGUUCUUAAGGCUUUUGGCUAAAUUGAGAUGAGCACCCCAAGGGGUGGAAUUAACCUUCUGGGUAAGGGAUUCCAGGGGUGAUUCGCACACAAUGAACUUCUUCCUCUGGGCCUUCUGGACACCUGAAGCUUUUCAGGUGGUGGAUUUGCUGGCUGGCGAGAGAGAAGAAUGGAGAACAGGCAAGGUACCAUUCCAGCUUCCUGGGCAACCAGGGCCUUUUGGAUGAUUCUGGACUUGAUGAGGCCCAGUCGUAGACCACUAGCCCAUGGGCUCAGGUGCCAUGUCAUGAGAGGAGAGGUCCAUGUAGUGAGAAGUUGAGACCUCCUGCCAACAACCAGCACUAACUCAGUUUGUGCGUGAGCCUUGGAAACAGAACCAACAGUCCCAGUCAGGCAUUCAGAUGUUCUCAGCUCCAGUCAACAUCUUGACAUAAAGCCCCUGAGAGAUCCUAGGGCAGAACCAUCCAGCUGAGAUGUUCCUGGGUUCCUUGAAAGAAUGAUGCAGCUUGGCCUCUUCUCUACUCUCCUGCCUUCCUCAUCCCUAUGCUGAUGGAGAGGAUGAAGUUGGAUAGAGUCAGAUUGUGGCCAGUGGGUCACCCAAGUACUUUGACCUGUUUCGGGAUGGUGGAGCAAUUUCUGAAACCAAACGUUGAAGCACAGUAAAAUGGGAUGUUUGAUUGAGCUUCUUGAAGUAUAACCAGCACUGUUAAGACAUUGGCCAAAAGUAGAUAUUGUUCAGGGCUAAAGCUCAUCUUGGGAGCCUGGAUUUUCCGCCCAUUGUAUUGAGUCAUCUUAGAGCUGCUGACCUUGCCUGGGUGAAAAGUUGCAUCAAGAAGACAUUAAGAGGACGUAUUAGGAGCUGUCAAUAUUUCUCCCUUUGAAGUUUGGAACUUAGGAACCUUCUGGGGAUAAUUUCUUGUUUAAUGUUCAUCCGAAAUGCCCUCCUUAAAAUUGAUAAUUAUAGUUGCCAGAUGAGUCUGUUAAGAGGGGCGUUUUCAUACCAGCCUACUGGAAGUAUUUAAGCACCUCAGGGGUUCUUACUGAAGUUCAGUAAGCAAGACAAUAAUAAUAAUUACUUCCGUGAUAGUAGGUACUAGAUAUAAAAUAGUUUUCUUGUGGCUGAUCAUUUGCGUAGUCAUUACUAAAAGGGCUAAAUUGCAUUACGAGAAUAUAACCAAUGUCACCAUUUUUAUAGCCUCUGUCUACAUUACAUAACGUGUACUGAGGAAUUUAAUUUGUUGUCUAAAUUUAGCUGUAAAAACAAUUAAGAAGUGCCAAAUGUACAUUAGCGUAUGUAUUUCUAACUAUAAAGUUGGUGUUGGUAAAAAAUGAGAUGUCGAUUUAAGGAUAAAAAUUGGAAUAUCUGGUACAUUGACCUUUAAAGAAAAAAGGAGAAGAAAACUGAUACCAUAUUAAUUAAAUAUUAUACUCACGAGUAUAUAACAUGGCUUCUCCUAACCGCGGGCCAAGAAACCACAUUUUGAGUAACAGCUAUUGCCUUUGGAAUUGAUGCAUUUCACCUGUGUGUGUGCUGACACUAUCCUUGAUCCUUCAUGGGGAAGAUGUGAUGUGGAUUAUAGAGAUUCUUCAGCUUCUCAUUGGUACUUCAGACAAUUGUUAAGAGCGAACCUUCCCUGCAUAGCAUCUUUUAAGGAAGAGGUGCUGGUUUUAAAGAUGCCAGCAAAUGAAUAGUUUGGUUACAUAAUGGCACUCUUCAAUCAUAAUGAAGACAUAUGGAAGCAAGCUCAGUUUCUAAAAUUUUGGCUCUUGGAUUGUUCUACUUUGCUUCCCCUGUAGCUGAGUUAUUACCUUCUGGUGUAUUAUGGCCAUCACCUAUAGAAAGGUGAUCUUUUAUAUGGGUCGAUCCUUUUAGAAUCGUGAAGAGUCGUGAAGUGGUAGUCUGUGAGCCAGGUCUGGUCCAUCUCUGCCCUGAAGAUAGGUGAGAAAAAUGGAUUUGCGUACUUUUAGAUGGGCCAUGUGAUAGCUAGUUUAUAGUUGUCCUGGUGCUCGCUAUUACCAGGUUCCCUUUCUGUUUCACUCUUAACAUUACUUAUCUGGGUCCAACAGGCAUUAGGGUUUGCACCCCUAGGGUGCUAGUCAAUCAUUCGCUAAGAUGUUUGGGUAUCAGGAAGACAUAAUCAAAUACUUGUUGCCCGAAUCAAUGAACAAAAGACUGGCUUAUGUAUCGAUGAAGUGCCUUGGCUGACCUUUGUCACCCUGUGUUGAGUGCAACCUUCUGUUCUCUUUCUGCUCUGGCUUGUGGUCUCUCCUUGGUGGUCACACCAUGUGUAGGGGUUGCUCUCAGUUCCCUCUAGAUGUGUGGCUGAGUCCCCUUCCAGAGAGCCGGACUACUAUUCAUUAAGACUGAACGCAUCUCAGCGUCAGCGUUGUGGUUUUCUUUGUGGCUGUUGGGCGGUAUUUUUAUACCCUUUCCCUUGUGAUUAAGCUGACCUCAUGGCAGAGGUUCCAUUUUGUUGGCAAAAAUGUUCAAAGAGAAUGCUGCACGUCUUUGGAGGUCGGUAGCAGCUAAGUGGAAAUUUAUGCAGAUGGGCCUAACAGUGGCAGUUCCUGGUGACUGUCAACAUUUAGUUUAUUUAUACUUCCAAAUGUUCUAUCUUAAAAGGAAGGAAGGUGUCAGAUAGGUUUUUUUUGAGAGGGGAGGGGAUUGAUAUACAUGCAUGCAUCUGUAUCUAUCUCAUAUAUUCAUGUGUGAUGAAACAUAUUUGUGUGUUUGUAUGUAUAUUAAAAACACUGCUUUCAUUGCAUUCAAAAUAAAUAACAAUAGGAUUUUAGUUUUGUUGGAAGAAAUUUAGCUAAAAACCAGUGCUACCACAGUGCCUUUUCUCUAUAGCACUAUAUAUGCACCUCGUGUCCUGCAGAAUCACACCCUGAAAAUAAUGGCUCAUGGGAGAACCAGGGUUGAGGCCAACUUUGGAAAGCCCUUGGAACUUUGUAACUAGAAACAAAAACAAACCCAAAUGUAAUAAAAAUAUAGCUCUCUGUUCAGUCUCCAUCUGGCUGCCGUUUGCUCUCACCAGCUCGGUCCAUCCUUUGUGGCCUUCCGCUUGGGCCAGGUCCUCCUUCUUCUCUGUGGAUCGCAGAGCCCAUUCACUUCUCAUAGAGACCGUUUUCACUGACAGUUACAUCUGGCCCAGAGCACAGCCCUCUGCCCUCAUCUGUACAGGGAGAAAGCUUUCUGUAGCUCCUUCGUCUGUAAUUUGCAGCUGUGCCGGUUAGCUUAACCUAGUGGAAAGGCAGUAGUUCUUGAAGCCACCACAGCCACUGCUCUAUGGAAGAUGGGCCCUUGAGUGUGUUUCCAGCUUUGUUCUGACAUGUCUUCAAACAUCGCUGUGGCUUUCUCUUUCCUUGUGAGAGCUCGUUCCUGUGAUUGCUUCAGAAUAUUAACACUAUGAAAAAUCAGGUGAGAAUCCACACACCCCGUUUUACUGACAUAUUCCCCUACUUACCAAUCGUGCCUGAGGUAAAAACGAGUCAUUGCAGAAUGGACGGUCGGUGAUAUAACUUUUUGAAUCUCUGCACCAGUUUUUGAAGAGGCAGGUAUCAUCAAGGGAUGUAUCGGGAGAGUUGAAUUGAUUCCUUGGCACAUAGUAGGCACCUGCUGAACACUGAGUGCAUUUCUGAUUCUCCCAGCUUUUGGAAGUUAUUUUAAAUUAUUCUCUGUGGGUGCAUAUCAGCGUAUUUUCCAGUACCAUCAACUUGUGUGUGAAGUCAUUCCUCAUCCCAUAAAAUAAUUUCUUUGGAGGCUUAAAGUGUUUUUGAAAGGCGUUAAUACAGCUUCUUGCAGCCAGACCAAUCGCUAAGGAAUGAUUCAGGCACGGUGAUGGUUGAAGAGCUCAAGUUUUGGAGACACACAUUUAAGUUCCAAAGAUGUGGGUCCUUCGGCAUCUCGUGCCUGGUGGAGAGGUGGAGGUGCGGCCGAGUUCGUCACACCAUCAUCCAUCUGCUCAUUUCACAUGAACCGAACACCAAAUACAUGCCAGGCGCUACACUAAGGGAACAGUGAGAUUCUGCCCCUGAGCCUGUGGUCUGGUGUGCGAUACAGUUAAGCAAACAGGCAGUUUACAGUGCGGUGGGAAAAGUGUUAGUACAGGGAAAGACGGGGUUCUCUUGGAGCGUGAGCCUUGGAGGAAUGAGAGAAGACCGUCCAGAGGAGGUGAUGACUAUGGGGCAGUUGAAAUUAGGAAAUGGGCAUGAACAGGUUUGCAGAACUUACUGAGAAUAUUUUUUUCUGCUUUGAAAGCAAUUUAUGUUUACCCUUGCGUCUUGAAAAAAAUAAGCAUAAGAAAAAAUUAUAAUACCUCAGAUAACUAUUACAAUUUAGCAUACGCUUGAUAUUUAUUAAAUACCAGGGUGCUAUCUGAAUUAAUUAAAAUGUUAGUUUUGUUGGUGUAGAUACAAAUGUAAGAGUGAAACUAGUUUCUCUACAUGUUUAUGUAAUUUAAACUAUCAAAUUGGAACAUAGCGUAAUACUAUUUUAUAGCCCAUUUAAUUUUCAUAUUUAUUGUAUAUAAUUUCAUAUGUAUAUAAAAUGAGCAUUUCUUAUCUUAAAUAUUAUUCUAUAUCAUGAUUUUUUUUUUUGCUGCACCCAUGGCGUGUGAAAGUUCCCAGGCCAGGGAUCAAACUCGAGCCACAGCAGCCACCCAUGCCACUGCAGUGACAAUGCUCGAUCCUUAGCCUGUUGCACCGUGAGAGAACUCCCUCUGUAUCAUGAUUUUUAGUGACAGGCUAAUUUUUCUCUUGAGCAGAUGUACUAUUUUAUAGGUAAUGAACCCCCUGUUGUUGGCCAUCUAGAUUGUUUCUGUUGAUAAACCUUUUAGAUACUGCUGUUAUUAGCCUCCGUGAACUUACUGAUUUAUAUUCCUAUCUCAUUGUCUUCCUCAGGAUAAGUUCUGAGGAGUGAAAUCACUAGCUCGAAGAAUGUUAACACCAUUAAUGCAUAAUCUCAGUUGCCCCUCAAACAUGGGCAGGGGAUUUAGAUUGGAGGAAGAUUAAAAGCAUGGUGACCAGUUAAUAGGCUCUUUCAAGUACAUUGAAACAAAUGGUCUUGGUGGCUUGAACCAGAGGAGAGGCAGUAGAGGUGGAGAGAAAUGGAUAGAAUUGAAAGAUUUAAAAAAGAAUCAGUGUAAUUUGGCAUGCUCGUCAGGGUUAUGUUUGGCUGCUUAUAAUAGAAAAUGUAUAACAACAGUCGCUUAAAAAGGGUUUAUUUUCUUACAUGAAAUAAACUUGGAGUUAGGCAGUCCA